GAAAUCCAGACAUCCUACUGACUUCAAAACUGAAAUCACUGAUGGGUUCCCUGCACGAUACUGGCUCUCUGCUUUCUUCUCCCCACAAGAUUACUGAACCGUCGGCCUCCCAGGAUUCUGACCAGACAGCCUCAGACCUGCAAACCUUUGAGUGCCCAGUCUACUACACGCCCGAGAGGUCAAGAAACAUGAUUGGCUUACCAACAACCGUGCUAACCUCAGUGCACUUACCCACGAAGAAACCUCCCAGUCACUGGAUCACCAUGCAGGUUGCACUGCUGUGUGAGAAGAAUGAGUGAAUAAACACACCCAGAGCGAACCCA
ensembl:lincRNA